UAUGGCCAUAUCAUGGUAAAAUACAGGUUCCUGUAUGAUCAAAGUUAAGCAACAUCGAGCCUGGUCAGUACCUAGAUGGGUGACCACUUGGGAAUACCAGGUGCUGUAA